UACGGGGGGAGCAAGCGUUGUUCGGAUUUACUGGGCGUAAAGGGCGCGUAGGCGGCCACCGCAAGUCGACUGUGAAAUCUCCGGGCUUAACCCGGAAAGGUCAGCCGAUACUGCGGGGCUAGAGUGCAGAAGGGGCAACUGGAAUUCUCGGUGUAGCGGUGAAAUGCGUAGAUAUCGAGAGGAACACCUGCGGCGAAGGCGGGUUGCUGGGCUGACACUGACGCUGAGGCGCGAAGCUAGGGAGCGAACGGG
rnacentral:rRNA from 1 species